rnacentral:rRNA from 1 species
UACGUAGGGGGCGAGCGUUGUCCGGAAUUAUUGGGCGUAAAGAGCUUGUAGGCGGUUUGUUGCGUCUGCUGUGAAAAUCCGGGGCUCAACCCCGGACUUGCAGUGGGUACGGGCAGACUAGAGUGUGGUAGGGGAGACUGGAAUUCCUGGUGUAGCGGUGAAAUGCGCAGAUAUCAGGAGGAACACCGAUGGCGAAGGCAGGUCUCUGGGCCGCUACUGACGCUGAGAAGCGAAAGCAUGGGGAGCGAACAGG